rnacentral:rRNA from 1 species
ACUCAAAGGAAUUGACGGGGACCCGCACAAGCGGUGGAUGAUGUGGAUUAAUUCGAUGCAACGCGAAAAACCUUACCUACCCUUGACAUGCCACUAACGAAGCAGAGAUGCAUUAGGUGCCCGAAAGGGAAAGUGGACACAGGUGCUGCAUGGCUGUCGUCAGCUCGUGUCGUGAGAUGUUGGGUUAAGUCCCGCAACGAGCGCAACCCUUGCCGAUAGUUGCUACGAAAGGGCACUCUAUCGGGACUGCCGGUGACAAACCGGAGGAAGGUGGGGAUGACGUCAAGUCCUCAUGGCCCUUAUGGGUAGGGCUUCACACGUCAUACAAUGGUCGGUACAAAGGGCUGCCAACCCGCGAGGGGGAGCUAAUCCCAGAAAACCGAUCGUAGUCCGGAUUGCAGUCUGCAACUCGACUGCAUGAAGUCGGAAUCGCUAGUAAUCGCGGAUCAGCAUGUCGCGGUGAAUACGUUCCCGGGUCUUGUACACACCGCCCGU